rnacentral:rRNA from 1 species
CAGUAGGGAAUCUUCGGCAAUGGGGGCAACCCUGACCGAGCAACGCCGCGUGAGUGAAGAAGGUUUUCGGAUCGUAAAGCUCUGUUGUAAGAGAAGAACGUGUGUGAGAGUGGAAAGUUCACACAGUGACGGUAACUUACCAGAAAGGGACGGCUAACUACGNGCCAG